UUUCUUUUGAGGCAGACUUCAUGUAUGUACAGGAGCUUCUAAGGAGGAAUUGAAAAGAAGAUUGCAUUCGAUCGAUCUCCUUAACUUGCUAUAAAGAUGAUUUCCUUUUAUUGAAUAAUUCAAAGUAUGGUGACUUUGUUGAACGCAUGUAUCCCAUUGAACUUGAAAUAAAGGAUACAACAGAUACAGGUGAAUCCUUGCUGGGUCAUUGAAAAACCUACUGGAAGUUCUUCUGAUACUGGAAAUUGAAAACAAAUGGUCAUUUUUGGAAGAAAAUUGAUAGAGGAAGGAUACAGAUAUACAAGAAUUUCAUAUUUGAAAUGCUUUUAAUAUUUCUUUUGUAUAUGACCACCAAAUUUUGGCAGUCAAAUAAGGCCAAUUGAAAUUAAUUGAUAGAUUUUUAUCCCGCCCAACUCUCUGAAAUCGUCCCGCCCCGAUUUUUUUAAUUUUUAAAAAUAUACGAUUUCCGGAUUUUGUUCAUUUCUGUUACCGGUAACCGCCGAUAAUUUCGUUUCAUUUAAACUUCCUUUUUCAAAUUUCGGUUUUCGUAUUUCUUCGAGUAAUAUAGGUCGACAUAUUCUUCUGCUCAAUGAUGACAACAUUAUCUUUUGAGAAUAUAGAUUGAUUACUAGAAGGACAUAAAUUAUUCGGGUUACAAGUAAUUGGCGGUGUCCAAUAACCGUAAUCGCGGUAUGUCACAAAUUUCAGUGAAUAUAAAACCGUGAAUUAUUUUAUUUAUACAAUGACAUUGUGUAAGGAAAUUUAGACUGAAUGAUAUCCAAAGCGCAAAAAUCAUGGAACACAUUGAUACAAAAUCAUGACUGGAAUAAAGAAAUUAACAGAAGCACGAACCGUGCAAUUUAUGACUGUAUAUUAAGUACAAAGAGUUGGCCAACGUACAAAAUGUAUUAUAGCUGCCAUGGCUUAGAUUUACCUCCAAGGCUGUCGU